rnacentral:lncRNA from 1 species
CGUCGCGAGCUCGCGUGGAGAAGCCGGCACUGCCUUCCAGCUCCCGUUUCUUUGCUGUCCGCUGUUCUCUGUUUGCAUGGAGGAACCGGCACUGCCUUCCAUGUCCCUUCGCCACUGCCCGCCAUCGCAAUUGCUUCCUCCCCCGCGAUCCCAAGGGAAGACAGCCACCAGGAGUGUUGGUGGAUUAGCCCCGAUUGGAGAGACUCGACGGAACCCCGGAACUUUGCGAUCUCUGCCACUCCGUCCCGACUCUCUGGAACCAGUCGCCGACGCCGCGUCGUGAGAGACCGUCGACAAAUUCGGCGCAGCCUGCGCUCCUCGCGUCUCCGUUGUAGAGGUGCCGCAACGGUUGUUCAGAUUGGUAACGUCAUCGUCAUCCAUCGUCGCUGCUCCGUCAAUCCCUGCUUUCGCGAGUGUCCGCUCUCCUUUUGCGAUGGCACCGUCCUCGGCGCCGCUGCCUCGGAGUAGAACUGCAGCCUCGCCGGUGCUGGUGGUUGGUGCCAGGCCAACCGCUGCAUCUGGAAAUGCGUAAAGUGGCUUUGGCUGUGGUCGAUUCACCCCCUCUGCCUCUGUGUGCUCUAGAAUUAGAGGUAUUGGAAUUGAAUUUGGAAAUCUUGCUUGAUCUGAAAUUGCUGUUGAUUCCUGUUGUUGUUCUGGUUGGAAAUCAAAUUUGAAAUCUGAUUGUUCUUCAUUGGCCAAAUCGCUUGCUUCUGCUUCCUUUUCUGCAUCGAUGAUAUUUGAAUUUAGGAAAGAAUUUCGCUGCUGUUGCUGAAAUUGUGUUAUUGCUUUGUAAUUACAAAUUGACAAUGAGGACUGCUGAAUUAUUGCUUGAUCUGGAUUUUCUGUUGAUUUUGCUUGUUGUUGCUGUGGUUGGACUAGGAAACAGAAAUCUGAUUCUUCUGCUUCUUCUUCCACUUUUGUGUGAACUGGAGUCAUGGUGAAUUCUGGAAAAUUGGUUGCUGCAUUCUCCAAUGCUGCCUUCUCAUAAUCUGAUGCUAAAUUCUGAAAUUGCAGAGCCGUAAGUGUAGAAUUGUUUGCUUCAAGAGCUGUUGAAUCAUUGUUGAGUGGUGGAAAAGCUGAGGUUGAUUUGGCUUGAAUCUGGCAUAUUGGAGACUGUUGGAAUCGUUGAUGAUUUCGCAAGGUUGCACAAAUUUUGGUGCAAGUUGCCUGAAUAUGUGCAAGUAUCUUGGAUCCAUUUUCAUAAUUUGAAUUCAAGCGAUCUAAGUUAGUUUGAAUCUGCUCCCAAAUUGCAUCCUCCGAGGAAUUUGGCAUGGUGUUCAAUGAAAGCACCAUUUGAUACGAAUUUGUAUCAAGCACUAGAGAGAAUUAGAGAUAAUCAGAGAGAAUAGAAGAGAAAUCCCUAGAAUUAGGGCCAAAGAGAGAAAGUAGAGUUUCCAAUUACACCAUGCCUCCCUCCAUUAUUACAUCAUAUUCCUAUUUAUAGUAUAAUUCUCUAAUUGGGCUAGCCCAAUACUAAUUGUAUCACCUAAUUAAAAGAAAAAAAAUAUAGGGAUCUAAUUGAAAAUUUCGCGAAACUAUAGGGACUAACAGAAUAAUUAAACCAAAAUAAAAUAAAAUAAUUUUUUUUUAUACAUAAAAAAAUUGAAUUAAAUAAAAAAUUCUUAAUAAUCAUUUUAAAACUUUUUUGUUUAAGAAAAAAAUUUAAUUUUUCA